rnacentral:rRNA from 1 species
GGGACACGUGGUAUCCUGUCUGAAUAUGGGGGGACCAUCCUCCAAGGCUAAAUACUCCUGACUGACCGAUAGUGAACCAGUACCGUGAGGGAAAGGCGAAAAGAACCCCGGCGAGGGGAGUGAAAAAGAACCUGAAACCGUGUACGUACAAGCAGUGGGAGCACCUUCGGGUGUGACUGCGUACCUUUUGUAUAAUGGGUCAGCGACUUAUAUUCUGUAGCAAGGUUAACCGUAUAGGGGAGCCGCAGGGAAACCGAGUCUUAACUGGGCGUUAAGUUGCAGGGUAUAGACCCGAAACCCGGUGAUCUAGCCAUGGGCAGGUUGAAGGUUGGGUAACACUAACUGGAGGACCGAACCGACUAAUGUUGAAAAAUUAGCGGAUGACUUGUGGCUGGGGGUGAAAGGCCAAUCAAACCGGGAGAUAGCUGGUUCUCCCCGAAAGCUAUUUAGGUAGCGCCUCGUGAACUCAUCUUCGGGGGUAGAGCACUGUUUCGGCUAGGGGGUCAUCCCGACUUACCAACCCGAUGCAAACUACGAAUACCGAAGAAUGUUAUCACGGGAGACACACGGCGGGUGCUAACGUCCGUCGUGAAGAGGGAAACAACCCAGACCGCCAGCUAAGGUCCCAAAGUCACAGUUAAGUGGGAAACGAUGUGGGAAGGCACAGACAGCCAGGAUGUUGGCUUAGAAGCAGCCAUCAUUUAAAGAAAGCGUAAUAGCUCACUGGUCGAGUCGGCCUGCGCGGAAGAUGUAACGGGGCUAAACUGUGCACCGAAGCUGCGGCAGCGACACUAUGUGUUGUUGGGUAGGGGAGCGUUCUGUAAGCCUGCGAAGGUGGCCUGUGAGGGUUGCUGGAGGUAUCAGAAGUGCGAAUGCUGACAUAAGUAACGAUAAUGCGGGUGAAAAGCCCGCACGCCGGAAGACCAAGGGUUCCUGUCCAACGUUAAUCGGGGCAGGGUGAGUCGACCCCUAAGGCGAGGCCGAAAGGCGUAGUCGAUGGGAAACAGGUUAAUAUUCCUGUACUUGGUGUUACUGCGAAGGGGGGACGGAGAAGGCUAUGUUAGCCGGGCGACGGUUGUCCCGGUUUAAGCAUGUAGGCGGAGGUUC